GAAUAUUGUACAAUGGGGGGAACCCUGAUCCAGCCAUGCCGCGUGUGUGUAGAAGGCCUUUUGGUUGUAAAGCACUUUAAGUGAGGAGGAGGCUAUUUAGCCUAAUCCUCUAGGAUCGUGGACGUUACUCGCAGAAUCAGUCCCGGCUAACUCUGUGCCAGCAGCCGCGGUAAUUCAGAGGGUGCAAGCGUUAAUCGGAGUUAGUGGGCGUAAAGCGCGCGUAGGUGGCCAAUUAAGUCAAAUGUGAAAUCCCCGAGCUUAACUUGGGAAUUGCAUUCGAUACUGGUUGGCUAGAGUAUGGGAGAGGAUGGUAGAAUUCCAGGUGUAGCGGUGAAAUGCGUAGAGAUCUGGAGGAAUACCGAUGGCGAAGGCAGCAAUCUGGCCUAAUACUGACACCGAGGUGCGAAAGCAUGGGGAGCAAACA
rnacentral:rRNA from 1 species